CUUUUUCUUGCCUAAAAUGUGAAGUAGAACUGGAAAAACAGAAGCAGCAAAGAGACUUCGACCGAGAAGAGAAGCACCAGGAUGAACGCUGCGGAUCAUAGUCCACUGGUAAACACAGCAUCAGAUAUGGAAUGGUGGGUGUCCAUGCCAAAGGUUGAACUACAUGCCCACCUCAAUGGCUCCGUCAGAGACUCUACACUUCUGGAACUUGCUAGAGUCUUGGGUGAUGAAGGUGUAAUUGUUUUCUCAGAUGUGGAACAUGUUAUCAUGAAAGGUAUAUGCUCAUUUUCCUCUUUUCCUGGUUGUUUCUCUGUUUGAUUGCUUAGAAAGUAGAGGAAAGAAGAUUUGUCCAAUUUUAAUCUUCAAUAUUGGUAAUUCAUUGCCUAAAAAAGCAAAACCUAUGUUUAGUUGUGCCAAUUCUGGUUAUAUGCCUAUACUAAGUUUGAGAUUUUAUUGUUCAUAAACCGAGAAAAAAAACUUUUGGUUAGAAGUUGAAAUUCUCCUUAUAAUCAAUUUCUAUUUUCUCUCUUGAUUUUUAAUUUUCCUUCUUACCUCCCCUUGUCUCUUGAUAAUGUGUGACAUUGGUAGUUCUCUAUUCACUUGCAUUCAGAUGAUCGUUCAUUGCAUGAAGUGUUCAAGUUGUUUGACCUUAUACACAUUCUUACCACUGAUCACAAAACUGUUACAAGGAUCACAAAGGAAGUGGUUGAAGAUUUUGCUUCUGAGAAUGUUGUAUAUUUGGAGUUAAGAACAACUCCAAAGAAAAACGAUUCUAAAGGAAUGAGCAAACGCUCUUACAUGGAGGCAGUGAUGGAAGGUUUAAGGUCUGUUACUGCAGUUGAUGUGUAUUUCGCUCCUCAAAAUUUAGAUGCUAGAACUUCUAUAAAUAGAAUUUCUAUAAAUGAUACAUAUCAUGGAGCUACAAGGAAAAAGAUAUAUGUAAGAUUUCUUCUCAGCAUUGACCGUCGUGAGACCACUGAAGCUGCAAUGGAAACUGUAUGUGGAAAACUGUAUGGAUGUUUUUUAGGACAUGAGUUGUUAACUGGCCAAGAGCCCAAGAUUUAUAAUUUCUCUUUCCUCGCCUUCUAUAGGUUAAGCUUGCUCUGGAAACGAGAGAUUUAGGUGUAGUUGGAAUUGACCUUUCUGGAAAUCCAAUUGUGGGUGAAUGGAAUACAUUUUUGCCAGCAUUAAAAUUUGCCCAGGAACAAGGCCUUUGUAUAACACUUCACUGUGGAGAGGUACCUAAUCAUGAGGAGAUCCAAAUGAUGCUUGACUUUCUUCCCAUGAGAAUUGGUCACGCAUGCUGCUUCAGAGAGGAAGACUGGAGAAAGUUAAAAUCAUCUAAAAUACCGGUUGAUUAUCUACAUUCAUUCACUUUCUUGAGAGAAACCUUCACUAGCGUAUACUGAUAAAUUAAAGCUUCUCAUAACUUCCAUAAGGAUGAAUGCUAUUUAGAAAGCAUCUCACAAUUUUCAUAGGAUGGAUGGUAUUAAAUAACUAAUUUGUUAGAAUUUGUUCAUGGUCACCUAAACAUUAUGGAAAUCUUUAGAUUUUGUUAAAAAAUUCCCAAGGAUCUCUAUUCAAUUACCCUUUUGGAUUUUUAAUUACCGACUACAAAAGUUGCACAGUUUCAUCAGUCUAGAGUGUGCUCUGUCCUAUGUUUUCAUAUUCAGUGGCCCUGCAGUUUUCUUUGGUUUACUGCAAAGUCUAGUAUAAGGGCUGUUGAAAAAUUUAAGAAUUUUGCAGUAUAUUUGUUUUACUAGCUAAUUUUCUUUUCAUUUAUGCUUAUGCACAUUUUCACAGGUGGAGAUUUGUUUGACAUCCAACAUCAGGACUGAUUCAAUUUCUUCACUAGAUAUUCAUCAUUUUGUUGAUUUGUAUAAUGCAAAACAUCCUAUAGUCUUGUGCACUGAUGAUUCUGGGGUUUUCUCCACCUCGCUUUCCAAGGAGUAUAGUCUCGCGUCAUCUGCAUUUGGCCUUGGGAAGAGGGAAUUGUUUCAGCUAGCAAGAAAUGGGAUUGAUUACAUAUUUGCUGAUGCUGAAGUGAAGCGGGACUUAACAGUGAUUUUUAAUUCAGCUGCUAAGGAGCUAGACCUAUGACUGGGCUCUUGAGCAGCAUGGACCUCCUCGUUAGUACUGAUCGCUGCCAAUUUAUGAAAUUGUUAGCCUACUCUUUACUGCAAUUUUCUUUAUUUGUAGCUCGAAACCAAUUGAUUACAUACAUAUAUUUGAAUUUGCAGACUGCUUAGUUGAUUUCAGUCAGUACUGAUCCCUUCAUCGGCAUGAUAGAUGAUUUUGAAACUCAAGAUAGUUAUAUGAUUAUAGGCCUGUUUGGCAUUGAGUUUUAGAUUCAGAAACUAUUUUUUUUGAAUAAAAGCACCAUUUUGGAUGUUAUUGAAAAAAACAGUUUAAAAAAAUUUAUUUUAUUUUUUUAGUGUUCUUAUGUCUAAA
rnacentral:misc_RNA from 1 species